ACGAAUGUUGGCGGCGUGUCUAAGGCAUGCAAGUCGAGCGGACGUAUCUGCGAUUACAUCAAGAAUACGUUAGCGGCAAACGGGAGCGUAACACAUUGGCAAUUCACCUCUAACUCGUGAAUAACCCAGGGAAACUUGGGCUAAUACGCGAUAUGACCCAGCGCAAGCUGUGUUGAAAGGUCCGCCGGUAAGAGAGAAGCCUAUGUCCUAUCAGCUAGUUGGCGGGGUAAUAGCCCACCAAGGCUAUGACGGGUACCAGGUGUGAGAGCACGACCUGGCUCACUGGGACUGAGAUACUGCCCAGACACCUACGGGUGGCUGCAGUCAAGAAUAUUCCACAAUGCACGAAAGUGUGAUGGAGCGACGCCGCGUGUCGGAUGAAGGCCUUCGGGUUGUAAACGACUGUUCUGGGGGACGAAUACUGACGGUACCCCAGCAGAAAGUGGUUGCUAACUCUGU
rnacentral:rRNA from 1 species